UACGUAGGGGGCUAGCGUUGUCUGGAUUUAUUGGGCGUAAAGAGCGUGUAGGCGGCCCGAUAAGUCCGCUGUGAAAGUCCAGGGCUCAACCCUGGAAUGCCGGUGGAUACUGUCGGGCUCGAAUCCGGAAGAGGUGAGUGGAAUUCCUGGUGUAGCGGUGAAAUGCGCAGAUAUCAGGAGGAACACCGAUGGCGAAGGCAGGUCUCUGGGCCACUACUGACGCUGAGAAGCGAAAGCAUGGGGAGCGAACAGG
rnacentral:rRNA from 1 species